rnacentral:rRNA from 1 species
UACGUAGGGGGCUAGCGUUGUCCGGAUUUAUUGGGCGUAAAGAGCGUGUAGGCGGCCAGGUAGGUCUGCUGUGAAAACUCGAGGCUUAACCUCGAGAUGUCGGCGGAAACCAUCUGGCUAGAGUCCGGAAGAGGAGAGUGGAAUUCCUGGUGUAGCGGUGAAAUGCGCAGAUAUCAGGAGGAACACCGGUGGCGAAGGCGGGUCUCUGGGCAGUGAACUGACGCUGGAGGAGCGAAAGCGUGGGGAGCGAACAGG